GACCAGGCUGGUCUUGAACUCCUGGGCUGAAGCAAUCCUCCCUCCUUAGCUUCCCAAAGUGCUCGGAUUUCACUCAUGAGCCACAAUAAUCAGUCUGAAAUUCUUGGGAAAGACACAUUCUUUGGAAUUGCUGCACUAGGGAUAUUGUAUGUUACUAGUGGCCCCUGCCUUUCUUUUUUCACAGGUAUAGCAGAUGCCAUUGGUGCCCCAAGCCAUAUCCUCUUGGCCCACCUACAGCUGUGACAGACAGUUUCCAACCUCAAGCAUUUGCAUCUCUUCUCUCUGCCUGAAGGCUUUAGCUAGUACCAAGGACCCUUCUCUGCUGCUUUCAAGUGGGGGAGAGCUGAUGCUCUCAGAACUCUCUGCCUUCAGGCUCUGUGGUGGGUGGUGAAGAACUGAAAUACAUAAGCCGUGGGGCUUCCCCUUGUCCAUGAAACUACAGAAGAUGCUGGCUCUGGAGAACUCAGGUGAGAAAGCUGCUGCAGGAGCCAGAAACCUUGGCAAAGAUCUUUUCUUUGCAAGUAAGAAAGCUGGUUGGGAAAGAGGACCAACUGUUCCUUCUAAAUUCCCAGGGAGUUGAGGAUACGUGAGGCCCUGUGAUUCAUUGGCCAGGAGUAUCUGCUCCAGCUGCCAGGCCAGAGUGAUCAAUCCAAAGUGCUUCUGAAAAUGAGGCCAGACCCAAAAUAAUGAAGCCUGAUUGCCUCAGAAUUAUUGUCAGAUUAAUUAGCAGCUCUUCCAGUAGCCCAUGUGUUCAGGGUCAGUAACAAUUUAUGGUGAGUCACAUUUAAGUAAUUUCACUCAAGUCAACCAGCAUUUGCUGCACUACUAAGCACAGAGUUUUAGGCAAAUCCAAUGCAAGAACAGGGUCUCUUGCUCUGCCAUAUAAAAGUCAUAUACCAAUAGGAAAAAAAAUCACUGUCUUUCUGGCCUCAGUUUCCCCACUUGUAAAAAAAUGGGGGUGGAAUUGACUCAAUAGUCUGUCAGUUUUCUCCAAUCUCAAUGAGGUAGGAGGUGGGGCUCUACUCCAGAGACAGGGCUUGGACCACAGAUCCGAUUGAAGACAAGCUUAAAAGCAGCUUUAAAUCAGACACACCCACCAGUGUGCUAUGUCAGUUUACUGUUGCCAUGGCAAGACCUAGGCAUUACUGCCCCUUUCGGUAGCAAUGACCCAAUGACCCAAAAGUUUGUGCCCUUUCCCUAGAAAUUUCUGCAUAAACUGCCCCUUAAUCCGCAUGCAAUUAAAAGUGGGUAUAAAUAUGACUGCAAACUGCCCUGAGCUGCUACUCUCUGCCUAUGAGGUAGCCCUGCUCUGCAGGAGCAGUCACAGAGCUAUAACACUGCCUCUUCAAUACAGCUGUUUUCUUCUACCUCUGGCUUGCCCUUGAAUUCUUCCCUGGGCAAAGCCAAGAACCCUCACAGGCUCCACGUCGGGGCUUGCCUGUCCUGCAUUACCAAGACAUAGUCUGUAUUAUUUUUGAGAGCUCGAAAUGUAAAAUUAUAUAAGAAAAAUACACACAAAAGGAAAAUUCAUUAAUCCCAUGAAUGUGUUUAUCCACAAAUAUUUACUGAUCAGUUCCUACUAGGUUCCAGACACUAUGCAAAAUAAUGUAAGAUAAGCUUACCUUCAAACACAUAAUCUAUUGGGGAAGACCAUGAGCAAAUGCACAGCUGGAGCAUAGGCACAGAGCAGGGAGCUUGUGACUUAGAGGGAGGGUAGCAAAGUUGUGCCAGAGGAAGUUGCAUUGUACUGAGAAAUAAAAAAGAGAUGAAAGGCA
rnacentral:lncRNA from 13 species